GUGGCUGUAACCUCUCAGAGAGAAGCUGUGAUGCUCUUUACUCAGUUCUCAGCUCCAAGUCCUCUAGUCUGAGAGCGCUGGACCUGAGUAAUAACGUCCAGCAGGAUUCAGGAGUGAAGCUGGUUUCUGAAGGACUGAAGAGUCCACACUGCAAAAUGGAAAAUCUCAGUUGAGUGGCUGUACAUUGUCAGAAAUAAACUAUGAAGCUCUGUCCUUAGUUCUCAGCUCCCAGUCCUCUAGUUUGAGAGAGCUGGACCUAAGUAACAAUACAAAGUAAAUAUUUUUAGAAUCCUGUAUUGACUUUAUCAGCCUAUUGCAGUCCUUCAGUUAUAUGCAUCCAAACUCAAACAGGGUCAUCCCCAUGACAAAUGAAACAAACCAGAGGGUUGGAACGUAGAUCAACUAAAGAGAUUUUUCUUCAGAACCAACACAACAGCCAAAUGGCUGCAUUACUGCUGAUAUCACACCAAUCUGAUGCUGAUCUUACUGUAGCCUGUAGUCUUGUUAACAUAAGAUGGAGAUCUUACCCUCACUUGUUAACAAGACUACAGGCCUAUAUCGGAGGGGGGGGCUGAUGAUGACUCUUGGUGUGAGACGGUUACGGAUCCUGCAAUUUGGGGAAAUCUAUCUAGUGACAAAUUAAAAAAACAUUAUCAUUGAAGGAGGGGCCUCAGUAAGUUUUCUAUUAGUUUGGCAGUUGAGUUCAAAUAUCAACAAUCUUUGCACAGAAUCGCUUACUGCACCUUUAAUUGUGCAUCAAAACAAUUAUUGGCAUUAAAAGGAAUUUGUGUUAACUCGCUUAAUUUUGACUGCCCUAAAAAAAGUGUUACGCAAUGUCACUUUGAACAUGUCUCAAAUCACGCACCUAUGUACUAACACUUGCUAUUGGGAGUACAUAGUGUGUUUAGACUGACGAAGUGUGGCCAAAUGUGGCGCACUACGAGUACCUGAAUACUGCAGUCAAAACGGUCAAAACCUGCAGUCAUCUGGUCACUAUCUUUGCUACGUAGCGGAAGCUACGAGACCACCACCGUCUUUUUAAACGUGAAUCUGGCUUGCCAGGAAGCUGCAGAUGUUGCGAUUGAAAUGGCAAAACUAUACAAAUGUAAUUUAUACAUGUUUUUUUUUUUCAGAAAGGACCACUAUACUUUAGUCAGAGAGUGAGAAAACAAGCCAGCUUGUGAUGGUUUCCAGGGAUUAAAGGACCCAAAUGCAGGGAGAGGCAGGCAGGCAGGAGAAGGGUUGAGCUUGAGGAUUUA